rnacentral:antisense_RNA from 1 species
AGACAAAGAAAGUGAAAUUGGAGAAGUUAAGUAUUUACCAAAGGCUAUCUAGCUAGGGAGUGAUGGAGCCCAGAUCCAAAUCCAGAUGAGGUUUCGUGUGCUGCUCAGGAUGAGCCACUGUGCCUGGCCAAAUGAGCUAUUUAUGAUGAUCAUAAGGACACAAGAUAAGGGAAUCCAAUCAGUUGCUAAGUGCUGGUGAUUCUGAUUCUGUCCCUGCAGUAUCACUUGCAUGCACCUCCUUCUCCCUAUGUUCACUGCUGGAGAAAAGAGAACCUUGGCUGAUGAUUUAUGGAUCUACAAGUAAUCGAACCUUAACUGCCACAAAAAUAACUUUAUCCAGUCCUUCCACCCUCCCCUGCACCUUCUUUAGUUAGCGCUGUAAGAACUUGGUUGCUCAGGUGGAAGGCAUAUAGAUUGUAUCGUAUUUGAAUAGCUCCCCAGGUAGCACAGUAAUGUCUCUGCACUUGAUUAAAUAAGUCAGGUCAACUUUUCUGCAAGUUUUCCUCCAUUGCAGCACUAACAUCCACAUUUAAUUUGUUGCUUUAUUUAACGCAAUCAUCUGCUUUCAGGGCAAAAUAA